rnacentral:rRNA from 1 species
GAAGCGAAAGCGAGUGCGAAAUGUGCGACAUUCAGUCGAGUGCGCUAGACCCGAAAGCAGGUGAUCUAACCAUGGGCAGGAUGAAGCGGAUGUAACAGUUCGUGGAGGUCCGAACCGGUAGAUGUUGAAAAAUCUUCGGAUGACUUGUGGUUAGGGAUAAAAGAUCAAUCAAACCUGCAGAUAGCUGGUUCUCCCCGAAAUAGCUUUAGGGCUAGCCUCAGGUGUUUUCCCGUGGGGGUAGAGCGACUGUUCAGGUUGAGGGGGUGCAUAACCUACCUCGCCCAGACAAACUCCGAAUACCAUGGGAACAAGCCUGGGAGUCAGACUGCGAGGGAUAAGCUUCGUGGUCAAGAGGGAAACAGCCCAGAUUGGCAGCUAAGGCCCCGAAUCCAUGCUAAGUGUAGAUAAGGAGGUGGGGUUGCUUAGACAGCUAGGAUGUUGGCUUAGAAGCAGCCAUCAUUUAAAAAGUGCGUAAUAGCUUACUAGUCGAGCAACUCUGCGCCGAAAAUUAACGGGACUAAGCAUGGAGCCGAAGCUCCAGACUGCACACGAAGAAGUGUGCAUUGGUAGGGGAGCGUUGGACGAGCCAUUGAAGGAGGACGGUAACGACCUCUGGAGGUGGUCCAAGUGAUCAUGCCGGGAUGAGUAGCGAUAAAGAAGGUGAGAAUCCUUCUCGCCGUAAGCCUAAGGUUUCCUGGGCAAGGCCAUUCCGCCCAGGGUUAGUCGGUCCCUAAGGCGAGGCUGAAAGGCGUAGUCGAUGGGAAGCAGGUCAACAUUCCUGCACCACUGUGAGCGUUGAACGAGGAGUGACGGCGGGUCGAAGGUUGUCCGGCUGUUAGAUGCCGGUUUGCAGUCUGGGGUGGUGGAUAGGUAAACCCGUCCACGGAAUCUCCGGGCUGUGAGGAGCCCUCGAGGCGAACCAACUGGAAGUCCGUCCAAGAAAAACUUCGCGGGAGCAGAGCGGUGACCGUACCUAAUCUGACACAGGAGGGCGAGGCGAAUAGCCUCAGGCGCUCGAGAGAACCCUACGUGAAGGAACUCGGCAAAUUAACCCCGUAAGUUAGCGAUAAGGGGUGCCUCCGCAAGGAGGUCACAGGAAAACGACAGCUGCGACUGUUUACUAAAAACACAGGUCUCUGCGAAGUCGUCAAAGACGACGUAUAGAGACUGACGCUUGCCCGCUGUUGGAACGUUAAGGUGACUGGUUAGCCGCAAGGCGAGGCUGGGAGCCGAAGCGCCAAUGAAGGGCGGCCGUAACUAUGACGGUCCUAAGGUAGCGAAAUUCCUUGUCGGGUAAGUUCCGACCCGCACGAAUAGCGUAACGACAGCUGUACUGUCUCCACGAGGGACUCGGCGAAAUUGUAGCUGUGGUGAAGAUGCCACAUACCCGCACCAAGACGGAAAGACCCCGUGAACCUUUACUGUAACCUAAUACUGGCUCUAGGUUCGCCAUGUGUAGCAUAGGUGGGAGACGUUGAUGUCAGGGGCGCCAGCCUCUGAAUAGUCAUCAGUGAAAUACCACUCUUGUCGUACUUGGAGUCUAACCUGCGACCGUUAUCCGGCGUGGGAACAGUGUUAGGCGGGGAGUUUGACUGGGGCGGUCUCCUCCUAAAAGGUAACGGAGGAGUACAAAGGUACCCUCAA